rnacentral:rRNA from 1 species
GAUGAACGCUGGCGGCGUGCCUAAUACAUGCAAGUCGAGCGAACAGACGAGGAGCUUGCUCCUCUGACGUUAGCGGCGGACGGGUGAGUAACACGUGGAUAACCUACCUAUAAGACUGGGAUAACUUCGGGAAACCGGAGCUAAUACCGGAUAAUAUAUUGAACCGCAUGGUUCAAUAGUGAAAGACGGUUUUGCUGUCACUUAUAGCUGGAUCCGCGCCGCAUUAGCUAGUUGGUAAGGUAACGGCUUACCAAGGCAACGAUGCGUAGCCGACCUGAGAGGGUGAUCGGCCACACUGGAACUGAGACACGGUCCAGACUCCUACGGGAGGCAGCAGUAGGGAAUCUUCCGCAAUGGGCGAAAGCCUGACGGAGCAACGCCGCGUGAGUGAUGAAGGUCUUCGGAUCGUAAAACUCUGUUAUUAGGGAAGAACAAAUGUGUAAGGAACUAUGCACGUCUUGACGGUACCUAAUCAGAAAGCCACGGCUAACUACGUG